rnacentral:lncRNA from 1 species
GGGGGUGUUUUUUUUUUUUGGCGAGCGGGUUGUGUGGGGGUGCAUGUACAUGUACUCUGUGUUUUGUCCUGACCAGUGUGCUCUAGCACUGUGCAGCAGCUCCCGUAUUGGCGCACUGUUCGUGUUCCCGCAUGUGUCCAUGUACAACGUCAACCACGGAACCAUUCCAACAGUAUAUUCAUGGCAUUGGUGUGCCCCAGUGCCCUUUGUGGAAUCCAUGGUGAAUCCGUGUUGAUUAAGGUCACGUUUCGUAUAUAUUAUACCUCUCCAACUCCUGAAGCAGUUCAACACAUCUUUUUACUAGAUGGGUAAAAUCUUAGUAACUCCUUGAGUAUAGCUUGUGAGA